ACACAGGCAGCGUCAGUGCAAGCUCCCACCACCCCGCCUCCCCCCUAUGUGUGUCACCCCCGCCCCUGGAGGGACCAUCUCUCGAGGUGGUUCCGGGCGCACUGCCCCCGUGCACAUAGGAACGCGCGCUGCCGGCGCCCCGGAUGCCUGGCUCCGGCUUGAGAGACGCUGCCCCCUCCGCUGCCAAAACAGGAGUUGAUUGGCCUUUUUCCCCCUUAAAAUGCCCUGAAACUGGAAAAGGCUGAACGUUAACAUUUCCGCCGUGGCAGCUCUUCCCGAGCCUCCUUUCCAAGAGCCGGGGUGCACUCACCCGGUCCCCGGGUCCCGCACACCCUGAGUGAAGCUCUGAGCUCCAGGAAGCGCUCUCGCUGUGCUUUCUGCGAGGGCUGCAAGCCACAUGGCCCCAGGCAUGGACCCACCGCCUUGGCACUGGGCCCCAGCCCCGCCUUUGCGUUUUGAGACAGCGUCUUGCUACACAGCCCGGGCUGGGUUUAAACUUACAGUCGUCCGGCCUCAGCCUCCCCGAGCGCGGGGCUCACAGGUGUGAACCACCAGCACUGGCGUGUCUCCCCUCGAUACGAUUCAUGCCAAGGAAGAUGUGACUUUCCCCGCGUGGAAGGGAAGACCCUGAGGACAGAUGACCUCGGAGGGCCGUUGGGACCCACUGGCUGCUGUGGCUCCCCUCACCCUCCCUGUCCCCGGCCAAGCUGACCGUUUCUCAGCAUUUUAUCCAUCCAUAGAACACGUAACUCCCCUGGAGUAAGUUGCUGCGCUGGCCGGGACCCAUGCUUUCUUUUACUCGCUCUUUCUCUUUCUCUCUUUCUGUCUUUCUUCUCUCUUUCUCUCUU